UACGAAGGGUGCAAACGUUGCUCGGAAUUAUUGGACGUAAAGCGCACGUAGGCGGCUUGGCAAGUCGGAUGUGAAAUCCCUCGGCUCAACCAAGGAAGUGCAUCCGAAACUGCUGAGCUUGAGUACUUAAGAGGAUCGCGGAAUUCCCGGUGUAGAGGUGAAAUUCGUAGAUAUCGAGAAGAACACCGGUGGCGAAGGCGGCCAUCUGGACGGUACUGACGCUGAGACGCGAAAGCGUGGGGAGCGAACAGG
rnacentral:rRNA from 1 species